AUUGAACGCUGGCGGCAUGCCUUACACAUGCAAGUCGAACGGUAACGGGUUAAGCCGACGAGUGGCGAACGGGUGAGUAAUAUAUCGGAACGUGCCCAGUCGUGGGGGAUAACGUAGAGAAAUUUACGCUAAUACCGCAUACGAUCCAAGGAUGAAAGCGGGGGACCUUCGGGCCUCGUGCGACUGGAGCGGCUGAUAUCAGAUUAGGUUGUUGGUGAGGUAAAAGCUCACCAAGCCGACGAUCUGUAGCUGGUUUGAGAGAACGACCAGCCACACUGGGACUGAGACACGGCCCAGACUCCUACGGGGGGCAGCAGUGGGGAAUUUUGGACAAUGGGCGAAAGCCUGAUCCAGCAAUGCCGCGUGCAGGAAGAAGGCCUUCGGGUUGUAAACUGCUUUUGUACGGAACGAAAAGGUCUGCCCUAAUACGGCGGGCUCAUGACGGUACCGUAAGAAUAAGCACCGGCUAACUACGUG
rnacentral:rRNA from 1 species